rnacentral:rRNA from 1 species
UACGUAGGUGACGAGCGUUGUCCGGAAUUAUUGGGCGUAAAGGGAGCGCAGGCGGUUGGAAUAGUCUGAUGUGAAAGCCCACGGCUUAACCGUGGAGGUGCAUUGGAAACUGUCCAACUUGAAUGCAGAAGAGGAAAGCGGAAUUCCAUGUGUAGCGGUGAAAUGCGUAGAUAUAUGGAGGAACACCUGUGGCGAAGGCGGCUUUCUGGUCUGUAAUUGACGCUGAGGCUCAAAAGCGUGGGUAGCAAACA